rnacentral:rRNA from 1 species
CUACGGGAGGCUGCAGUCGAGAAUAGUCUACAAUGGGGGCAACCCUGAUAGUGCGACGCCGCGUGAACGAAGAAGCAUUUCGGUGUGUAAAGUUCUUUUCUACCAGAGCAAGCGAGAGUAUUAUAAGAUAUUAUUCUUUUAGAUAUUAUGGUAGGAAUAAGCCACGGCUAACUCCGUGCCAGCAGCCGCGGUAACACGGGGGUGGCGAGCGUUGUCCGGAAUUACUAGGCGUAAAGGGCAAGUAGGCGGAUCAGUAAGUCAGAUGUAAAAGGUUACGGCUCAACCGUAUUAUUGCAGUUGAUACUGUUGAUCUAGAGUAAGGCGAGGGAAGACGGAAUUCCUGGUGUAGCGGUGGAAUGCGUAGAAAUCAGGAAGAACACCGGUGGCGAAGGCGGUCUUCUGUUCCAUUACUGACGCUGAAUUGCGAAGGUGUGGGUAUCAAACAGGAUUAGAUACCCCAGUAGUC